rnacentral:rRNA from 1 species
UAAACUACGAUUAGAUACCCUAUUAUUUUAAAUGUAAAAUAAUUAAACUUGAGUAGUAAUAGUUAUGUUCUUGAAACUCAAAGAAUUUGGCGGUGUUUUAGUCUUUUCAGAGGAACCUGUCCCGUAAUCGAUAAUCCACGUUAAACCUUACUUAUUUUUGUUAUCAGCUUGUAUACCGCCGUCGUCAGAAUGUCCUAAGAAGGUUUUAAUUUUCUUAAAUUUUUAUUAAAAAUGAUGUCAGGUCAAGGUGUAGUUUAUGAAUAAGUGGAGAUGGGUUACAAUAAAUAUAUUUAUAACGGAUAAAGUUUUGCAACAAGCUUUUGAAGGUGGAUUUGAUGGUAAUUAAGUUAAUUAAAGUAAUUUGAUUUUAGCUCUAAAACAUGCACACAUCGCCCGUCGCUCUUA